AUUUCUAUCUGGCGAUUCUUCCUUUUGGAGCCUUUUCACAAGCUCAGGACAUGGUCUUGAAAAUGCAGACGGAAUGCACAGUUGCCCACUGCCGCAGCCCUACAUCGUGGCAAGGUGUGGGGCUGAAUAGCUGCCUGUGUACCAGCCACACACCCCUACCAAGUUGGGUUCAGCAGUGGUGAUGUUGGCAGAGAGCUGGGAGCUGCUUGCUGAUCUGGCCAGAAACUAAUCUUACCGACUGGACGACUUGGCUGAGGCAUGGCAGAGUCAGCGCUGAGACAUGAGGUGAUGGGAACACGCUCCGAUAGCGGGGAAAACAACAUCCUGCCAUUAGUUUGGCUUUCGUCCACCAUGAAAUCAGAACUAAUACAUCCUUCCACAUUUCCCCACCAGAGGGACUCUGAAUUACUGAAGCAUAGGUCCUGCCUUUGAGCUAAGAAUUGGAGAAGAAACUUGGCUUGUUGCUUGCAAGAAGUACAGACAUCUGCAAUAACCAGGCACAACAAAAAUAUAUCCCUCAAAAGAAAAUGACCUGCUCAAAUUAAACACAAACUAGCCUUUUCCUGAAACCACUGGAGGAUAAUCCUACUACAAUGAGGGGAUGUCCUUAGAGCAAUGUAAAAUGCAAGCAUGAGACAUCAAGAUCUGAGAUUUGCUGUAUGCAUCAGUCCUUAUUUGUAUGACGGUCAGAUCCAGUGAGGAAUCAGCGCAGCCUGUGUUCAUCAACAACGUGAGAGACCGUGCCUUGAAAGGGACAGCACAUUUGUUACCACAGAGAAGCAGGGUUGCUGUAAAUCAUGCGGACUAACAAACCAGCCAGCAGCAAUAACUCGUGAGUGCUUGGCAUUUCUAGACCUAUAAAGCAAAUCUCUUUUGAUGUCAGAGAUAAGCUACAUUCUAUCACCUUUCCCUGAGGAAAAUCAGAAAGGGCAGUAACAGGGGAUAUUCCUUUAUAGAAGCAUCUCUGAAACAGAUGCUGAACAACUGAUAACAGAAGGUGUUUGCAUUGUGUUUUGUAAACAAUGUAUAGAGCUGCAUAAAAAAUUAACACAUCACAGCUUGUAAACCAGUGCAUAUGCUUAGCUUACACAGAAUAACUAUGAAUUACUGAAUCAGUUUACAACCAUUGCAGUCUCCCACUAGACAAGCACACAAACACUACGCUAUACUAUACUGCACUAUUCUGGUGCUGGUAUGUCUGCACACUGACCAUCCUCACUGCAAAGUGUGAAAUGACCUUGAGACACUGACAUUUUAACUUUAAGUCUUCGCCACCUGAGGGUCCCAGGUAAUGCUGGUCCCUACCUUGCAGAGGUUGAGGGUGCUGUGUGGUUGUCCUCAUGUUUCCAGGGCAGCUCAUCACAGAUCAGAGAACUGUGAGACUUUAGACAUUACUUUUGCAGCAAGAACAUAUUAUUUCUUUGUUUUCCCUCUUGCCCUGCCACUGGUUUUGUCCAGCUCCAGGCCUGCAUUUCUUUAUUUGCCCACCAGAGAGCUGCUGACAGCCACAUGCACGCUCCAGUUCCAGGCCAUGUCCCAGUUUACCAUCCCAUGCCUCUCCUUCCUCUGUAAGCAUCCCACUUUUCUACCUCUCAAGGCCUCUGCCAUCACCAGGGCUGUACUUCUCUGCACUGCGUCACUGUGUUAGAGACAUAAAUAUCUCACUUUAGAUAGAAUAAGUGCUCGUUGCACUAUCUGUACGGAAUGGUGGUUGUACCACACAAAGACAAAUGAGCAAAAUAAAUUAACCACAGACACAUGAUCAACUAGAGAAAUUGCUGCCACAGCUAAACCAAGUAAAACAAAGCUACAGGCAUGUCAAGAAAAGCUCAGACAGAGCAACAGACUGCAGCCCUACUGCCUCGCAGUUCAGUACAAAGCUUACGGUCUGCACUAAGAAAAGCAAUCCUGGGGCGCAGCGAUCAGGCUUACAGGUCUGAUUCCUAGAUCUGUAAGUCCCAAAUUCUGUUUUUCUCUCUUCCCUCUGAAAAAGACAUUUUUUAAAAAAAGAAGUCUUCCUUCCCAGCCAAAUAGAUCAAACCACCAGCACGUAGUUUUGUUUCUGUGAGUGAAUGUCUCAUGUUUGCUGAGAGUUCACCCAGUGCAUCCCACCAUUUACCAGUAACAAAUUUGCCUAGCUCAAAGCUGGCACCUGAGCACCUGAAGGCUGCGUGUGAAUUGUCUGUGUCUUGCUUAGAUCUAAAGAAGUACUGAGGAGGUGGGAGGUUUUGAACAACAUUCCACAAUUUUUGAUAUUUGGGUUCUGAAGCCCCGGGUUUUCUGCUUUGAUUCAAGAAUAUGAAAAAUCAUGAAAAACUGUGCGGUUAAAAUGGCACAGUGUAUGCAAACUAGUGCAUGUGUUUGUGCCCCUUCCUUCCCAUAAUCAUAGAAUCCGAGAAAAGGCCUCUAAAAUCACCGAGUCCAACUGUCCAUCUACCCCCACCAUGCCCAUUAACCAUGUCCCUCAGUGCCACACUCACAGAGUUCUUGAAUACCUCCAGGGACAGUGACUCCACACCUCUCUGGGCAGCCCAUGCCUCACACCACUCUUUUGAUGAAUAAAUUUAUUCUAUUAUUCAACCCGAACCUUCCCUGACAGGCUCUCCAGGUUCUGUCAAGGAAGAAGUUAUCCACUUGGUUUAACAAUCGUGUUACAUCUAGGCAUGGGAAUUAAUAACUCUGGGCUGCUCUUACCAGCUCGGAACAGUAGUCCAAAAGACAGCAUCUAUCCUUUGGGUUUCUUGGUUUUCUUGUGUUGAAAGCACCACAUGUAGACACUGGAUGUACAGGUAUCACGUCAUGUCAGAAGUUAGUAGCACGAAGAGAUUGUGGCAAGGCACCUCUGUGGCCACUGCAGCAACAUCUAGCUCAGCAAUGCAAGCACUUUCUGAAAUGUUGUUAUUAUAGCAACCAGAGCUGACAUUGGCUUGUUGGGGUGAUUUGUGAUUAGGCAGAAAGGCACAGCACUUGGCUAGUGAUCCCCAGGCAUCCUCAUGCCCACAUAGAGACAUCCCAGAGAGAAUUUUCUGUUGCCAGGGAUGUCUCCAUCUCUCAGCCUCCCACAGCACUGGGGACAAUCUCUCUGCAGACGUAGCAGACCCACCGGCUGUCUUGAAACCUCGAUUUGAGAAAGGAUGGGAACAGUGUGCUGAAGAGAAGCCAAUAAAAACAAAUUGCCAUGGGAAACCUGCCGGCCUGGUUUGAAAGUUAACCGGAUUGACUGAGUUGAUGGGAGAAAUUUUUGCAAAUGAUACAUUUUUCUGCCAAGCAAAAUGCCUGACCUUUCCAAGACUAAUUUAAGACUGUAGUAAUGAUAUCAAUAAAAAAGCAAUAAGCUCUAAUGCGUUUUAAUGUAUUUUAAUUGUUCAGUAAGCUUGAUAAGUUCUGUAAUUUAAAUGCUUGGCAUUUGAAAUAAAAAAAAAAUUAAAAAAAAAAAGGGAAAUAAAAAUGUCGUAAAGUCCCUUGGGCAC
ensembl:lncRNA